CGGUCCUUGUUUCACAUCGGAGCUACAUGCGAACUUGUUAGGGUACUCUAAUUACUACAUCAAGUUGAAGCGUCUGAGUAUUCGAAUUGCUUUCCUCUCACAUUCGUGGCAUUCUUCAUAUGCAGGUACUCCUUAUCUAUUACUCUAUUUGCCAUCAAACAAAAAUAUAUAUAGCUUUCACCUACUCAACUUCACCUGUAGAGCCCAAUAAAUUCUUCACUGUUGACCAACAGAGCUCGAUGUUUUUCAGGGGGUCUCUUUGUUGAUCGCAAAAUGCCUCUAUUUGGCAUCCUAUCAUCAAUAUAUACACUAUUUCCAUUCCUUGAAUUUUGUAAUAGCAGAUCUAGAGUCUGUCAAUGUUUUUCUUUGGUUUAGUUUAUCCUUUGUUGAAUAUUCAUUGUAUCUUAUUCUUUGGAACACUCCAGUCUAGAAGAUAUGGAGUCUGUCAAGUCUGCAA